AACGAACGCUGGCGGCGUGCCUAACACAUGCAAGUCGAACGGAGGCAAGGGGCUUGCUCCUUGCUUUAGUGGCGCACGGGUGAGUAACGCGUGGAUAAUCUGCCCGAUGCUCAGGGAUAACAUCUAGAAAGGGGUGCUAAUACCUGAUAAGCCCACGGGGUCUUUGGACUCUGCGGGAAAAGGGGGGGACCUUGUCGGCCGUCUGUCCCCAGAUGAGGCUGCGUACGAUUAGCUAGUUGGUAGGGUAAAGGCCUACCAAGGCGACGAUGGUUAGCUGGUCUGAGAGGAUGAUCAGCCACACUGGAACUGAGACACGGUCCAGACUCCUACGGGAGGCAGCAGUGGGGAAUUUUGCGCAAUGGGGGAAACCCUGACGCAGCAACGCCGCGUGAGUGAUGAAGGCCCUUGGGUCGUAAAGCUCUGACAGAGGGAAAGAAAUGUGGGCGGCUAAUAUCCAUACCACUUGACGGUACCCUCAAAGGAAGCACCGGCUAACUCCGUGCCAGCCGCCGCGGUAACAC
rnacentral:rRNA from 1 species